GGGCGAUUAGCUCAGCUGGUAGAGCGCCAUGUUUACACCGUGGAUGUCGGCGGUUCGAACCCGUCAUCGCCCACCA
rnacentral:tRNA from 1 species